rnacentral:pre_miRNA from 1 species
UUAAUACUUCAUCCGUUCCAAAAUUCUUGUGUUACAUUUGACUAGAUAUGAAUGUAUUUAGUCAUGUUUAAGUAUUUAAAAAAUUCAUCUAUAAAUAAACUUAAAACAAGAAUUUUGAGACCGAUGAAGUAGUUA